rnacentral:tRNA from 1 species
CGGUCGGUAUAGGCGGCGAGGAAGGUCGGGCGGCGCUGCCACCGUCGCCAGAACGCAUCGAUACGUUCGUAGCGUUCGUCGAGCGGC